GAGGAUAUAGCUCAAGUGGUAGAGCACAUGCUUAGCUUACCCACAAGGUCCUGGGUUCAAUUCCCAGUACCUCCU
rnacentral:tRNA from 1 species